rnacentral:rRNA from 1 species
AUUGAACGCUGGCGGCAGGCUUAACACAUGCAAGUCGAGCGGAGAGAGGUAGCUUGCUACUGAUCUUAGCGGCGGACGGGUGAGUAAUGCUUAGGAAUCUGCCUAUUAGUGGGGGACAACAUUUCGAAAGGAAUGCUAAUACCGCAUACGUCCUACGGGAGAAAGCAGGGGAUCUUCGGACCUUGCGCUAAUAGAUGAGCCUAAGUCGGAUUAGCUAGUUGGUGGGGUAAAGGCCUACCAAGGCGACGAUCUGUAGCGGGUCUGAGAGGAUGAUCCGCCACACUGGGACUGAGACACGGCCCAGACUCCUACGGGAGGCAGCAGUGGGGAAUAUUGGACAAUGGGCGCAAGCCUGAUCUAGCCAUGCCGCGUGUGUGAAGAAGGCCUUAUGGUUGUAAAGCACUUUAAGCGAGGAGGAGGCUUCUUUAGUUAAUACCUAGAGAUAGUGGACGUUACUCGCAGAAUAAGCACCGGCUAACUCUGUGCCAGCAGCCGCAGUAAUAC